UAUAUGUAAGUGUUUUUAGCACAAAAUUUUUUGAAAAUUUUAGAAUUAUUUUAUUUUAAUAUAUAUAU
rnacentral:tRNA from 1 species